GACGAACGCUGGCGGCGUGCCUAAUACAUGCAAGUCGAGCGGACCGGAUUGGGGCUUGCCUUGAUUCGGUCAGCGGCGGACGGGUGAGUAACACGUGGGCAACCUGCCCGCAAGACCGGGAUAACUCCGGGGAACCGGAGCUAAUACCGGAUAACACCGAAGACCGCAUGGUCUUCGGUUGAAAGGCGGCCUUUGGGCUGUCACUUGCGGAUGGGCCCGCGGCGCAUUAGCUAGUUGGUGAGGUAACGGCUCACCAAGGCGACGAUGCGUAGCUGGCCUGAGAGGGUGACCGGCCACACUGGGACUGAGACACGGCCCAGACUCCUACGGGAGGCAGCAGUAGGGAAGCUUCCGCAAUGGGCGAAAGCCUGACGGAGCGACGCCGCGUGAGCGAAGAAGGCCUUCGGGUCGUAAAGCUCUGUUGUGAGGGACGGAGGAGCGCCGUUCGAAGAGGGCGGCGCGGUGACGGUACCUCACGAGAAAGCCCCGGCUAACUACGUGCCAGCCGCCGCCGUAA
rnacentral:rRNA from 1 species